CUGUUUCAAAGUGCAUACUGUGGCCGCGUGACGCUCGUCAUGGGCCUGUAACGGUCGUCACAGUCUGGUUCGUGACGAGCUUCAUGAAUCUGUGACGGUCGUCACAUCAACAAAUUUUGCAUUUCCUAUUUUCUGCUUUUUGCUGUGCUUUCUCAUCUGUUUCUUCUCCUUUUUCUUCCUUUUCUUCAUUUUGCUUAUUAAUGCUUGGAGAUUUAAAUACCUGCAAAAACAACUUAAAUACUUGCGGAAUAAUCAGAAUAUUAGUUAAAAUGGUAUGAUGUUUGAGUGUAAAUUAAGG
rnacentral:lncRNA from 1 species